rnacentral:rRNA from 1 species
CGAACGGUCCUUCGGGACAGUGGCAGACGGGUGAGUAACGCGUGGGAAUCUACCUAGCUCUACGGAAUAGCUUCGGGAAACUGGAAUUAAUACCGUAUACGCCCUCCGGGGGAAAGAUUUAUCGGAGUUAGAUGAGCCCGCGUUAGAUUAGCUAGUUGGUGGGGUAAUGGCCUACCAAGGCGACGAUCUAUAGCUGGUCUGAGAGGAUGAUCAGCCACACUGGGACUGAGACACGGCCCAGACUCCUACGGGAGGCAGCAGUGGGGAAUAUUGGACAAUGGGCGAAAGCCUGAUCCAGCCAUGCCGCGUGUGUGAUGAAGGCCUUAGGGUUGUAAAGCACUUUCAACGGGGAAGAUAAUGACGGUACCCGUAGAAGAAGCCCCGGCUAACUUCGUGCCAGCAGCCGCGGUAAUACGAAGGGGGCUAGCGUUGUUCGGAAUUACUGGGCGUAAAGCGCGCGUAGGCGGAUUGAUCAGUUAGGGGUGAAAUCCCAAGGCUCAACCUUGGAACUGCCUCUAAUACUGUCAGUCUAGAGUUCUAGAGAGGUGAGUGGAAUUCCGAGUGUAGAGGUGAAAUUCGUAGAUAUUCGGAGGAACACCAGUGGCGAAGGCGGCUCACUGGCUAGAUACUGACGCUGAGGUGCGAAAGUGU